AAUAAGGUGCCUGAUUAAAGGAUCAUUUUGAUGUAAUGAAUUAUAUAUAAUUAUAUUAUAUUCUUAUUG
rnacentral:tRNA from 1 species